UACGUAGGUGGCUAGCGUUGUCCGGAUUUACUGGGCGUAAAGAGCGCGCAGGCGGUCGUUCAAGUCGAGUGUGAAAGCCCCCGGCUCAACUGGGGAGGGUCACUCGAUACUGAUCGACUCGAAGGCAGGAGAGGGAAGCGGAAUUCCCGGUGUAGUGGUGAAAUGCGUAGAUAUCGGGAGGAACACCUGUGGCGAAAGCGGCGCACUGGACCACAACUGACGCUGAGGCGCGAAAGCUAGGGGAGCAAACAGG
rnacentral:rRNA from 1 species